AGUGUCUAUUUCAAAUCAAUAGGAGUACUUGAAGACUGUGUCCUCUUGUAGAGCUGAGGGUGUUUUACCACUACCCUAAGAGCUGACACCAGGAGGUCUUGCUGCAAAGCCAGGCACUGUAUUCCACACUGUAUUUCCAUCAUCGCUUUUAAUGAGACUUCUUUGCAAAUAUGUAUGGUAUCUUUUAAAAUACCUGAUAACCAGCCAGCAGGGGUGGUCAGCUGCUACACUGGUAGCCACAAACAGAAUCCAAGACACAGAACUUCAUACGGUGUCACAGCUUAAUUUUCCAGGCUACAGCUCCCACUGCCCACAUCAGAACCAUCUGCAGGUCCAUAAGCUGUGAGUUUCUUUGGGAGUUGGGGGAGUGUCUUUUGGAUGUUUAUAACUUAUGCAUCUUAAUAUUGAAUGUGCACUUAAUACAUGGAACUUCAUAGUACUUGAUUUUUUAUGCAAAAAUGACUUAAUUAAAAUUUCUUGAAGAAACGUCAUAGAAUGAAUAUGGAGAUCACUUAAGUACCUUCCUGCUCUGUACAUAAUGAUAAAAUUCUGGUAGCUGAUCUAAAGCUAAGAAGAAUGCGGGAGGAAACAAAAUGCAAGUGGUUAGGUAACUGACAGCACUUAUAAGCAAUACGAUUAAGAGGACUAG
rnacentral:lncRNA from 1 species